rnacentral:rRNA from 1 species
AGUAACGCGUGAGUAACCUGCCUUUCAGAGGGGGAUAACGUUCUGAAAAGAACGCUAAUACCGCAUGAGACUACAGAGCUGCAUGGCUCAGUGGUCAAAGGAGCAAUCCGCUGAAAGAUGGACUCGCGUCCGAUUAGAUAGUAGGCGGGGUAACGGCCCACCUAGUCGACGAUCGGUAGCCGGACUGAGAGGUUGAACGGCCACAUUGGGACUGAGACACGGCCCAAACUCCUACGGGAGGCAGCAUG